UACAACUUUCAACAACGGAUCUCUUGGCUUUCGCAUCGAUGAAGGACGCCGCGAACGUGCGAAACGUAAUGUGAAUUGCAGAAUUCAGUGAAUCAU
rnacentral:rRNA from 1 species